rnacentral:pre_miRNA from 1 species
GGGUUUUCGGGGCUUGUUUUAAGUUGCCUGCGAACUGUAUUAAAACCUCAGGCAGCUAAAGCAAGUCUGGAACACCU